GACGUAGGGCGCGAGCGUUGUCCGGAUUUAUUGGGCGUAAAGAGCUCGUAGGCGGCUUGUCGCGUCGACUGUGAAAUCCCGCGGCUCAACCGCGGGUCUGCAGUCGAUACGGGCAGGCUAGAGUUCGGUAGGGGAGACUGGAAUUCCUGGUGUAGCGGUGAAAUGCGCAGAUAUCAGGAGGAACACCGAUGGCGAAGGCGGGUCUCUGGGCAACUACUGACGCUGAGGAGCGAAAGCGUGGGGAGCGAACAGG
rnacentral:rRNA from 1 species